rnacentral:ncRNA from 2 species
AGUCGCUGCGCAUUUUUAGGUUCCAAGGUGAUAUUUUCACCGUAGCGAUUAAUAGGGAAUUCAGUGCGUAAAAUUGACUUUCGGUUUUGCGAGAUUAAUUGAAGCUGUCCCCGCAACUGUAUGCGAUGAGUGCUAAUCACGGCCACUGAGUAAGGUGUUGUCACUGAACUUGGGAAGGCGAUUAGCGCAUUUUCUGGCGUUUUCUUAAACGCGUAGAAUGAAGUCGUGAGCCAGUAGACCUGCCUGAUAUGCAUUUACCUG